rnacentral:rRNA from 1 species
CCUACGGGUGGCAGCAGUGGGGAAUAUUGGUCAAUGGACGAAAGUCUGAUCCAGCCAAGUAGCGUGAGGGAUGACUGCCCUCUGGGUUGUAAGCUUCUUUUGUAUGGAAGUAAAACAGGGUAUGCAUACCCUCUUGUAUGUACCAUAUGGAUAAGGAUCGGGUAACUCCGUGCCAGCAGCCGCGGUAAUACGGAGGAUCCGAGCGUUAUCCGGAUUUAUUGGGCUUAAAGGGAGCGUAGGUGGAUUGUUAAGUCAGGUGUGAAAGUUUGCGGCUCAACCGGAAAACUGCAGUUGAAACUGGCAGUCUGGAGUACAGUAGAGGUGGGCGGAAUUCGUGGUGUAGCGGUGAAAUGCUUAGAUAUUACGAAGAACUCCGAUUGCGAAGGCAGUUCACUGGACUGUAACUGACACUGAGGCUCGAAAGUGUGGGUAUCAAACAGGAUUAGAUACCCUAGUAGUC